GGUUUUAUAUUCAUAAAUGAUUUUAAAUUGCAAAUUUAAAGGUGUAUUUUAAAUACUAAGACUU
rnacentral:tRNA from 1 species